CCAAGUUCAGGUGUUACAGCAUCAACCAUGCAGGGCAACAUCUGACCCCCAGUGUCUGCCUGCCUGGGAUGGCACUACAGAGUAAAUUAAAUGAACACCUUUCCACUUUGCAACAAUGGGAGAGUAGUGAAUUGCCAAAGCUAAGUCCUUCCCAGGGUGUAAAUCCAGCUGAAGUCCAAGAACCUAAAGACAGAUGCUCUUCUUCAACUCCCUGCUUUAAUUGCAAAGUAAAUGGAAGACAGAUCCAGGUUAACUCUGCUUCUAUCUUUAUAGACCAACACUUAGCUAGCAUGGCUUGCAAAAUAAAUAUAAAACCAAACAAAAUAAUCACACACAUCCCCAGUGUACCUGGGGAUUACAGGCAAAACUGCCCUAGAAAUCUAUUAUUGUACUGUCAUUUGAUGAUGACCAAAAAGAAGAAACUAAACAGGAAAGAUGACCAAAUCAAAAAGCUUGGAAAAACUUUCUCAAAAAAUGGCUGGAUUUUUGACUAAAUCCUUUUUCACCCCAACAGUUUCAUAAAUACCAGGCUUUCUUGCAUUCAAAUUCCCCCUACCACCACUUUUUUUUUCCCGGGUAGUGAAACAGCCUUGGCCUUUGGCUUUUAAUUUCACACCAGCUCAAGGCAAGAGUCAAAGUUUCCACUGACUGCGGCCCAUCGGCAACCUGCCACAGUUCAACAGCUCCUCGACAGGAGGGUUGUGACCGUGCCCUUUAAAACCUUCACAGUUUAGAGAUCUUUCACAUAGAGCACUCUUUUCCAGGAGACUGGUUUGCAUGCUGGCCCUCCAAAAAUGUUCUUUCCUCCUGCCUCUUGUGACUUGCAUUAGUCUAAUUUUUUCAUAAUUUUUUCAGCUCAAGGCUGACAUGGGGAAGGCUGGGCAAUUUAGUCACCCAGCAGAGUGCUUACAGUUACACAAACGAUGAUAAGAGCGUGUUGCUGCACUGCUUUCUACCUUAAGUAGGAUUAAUGGAAGAAGGCAAGCCUGCUGAAAAGAGAGCAUUGAGGAGACUCCAGCCUUGAUCCAAAAAGAGUUUGGGGCAGGUUCUAGGAUUAUGCACCUGACCGUGGCUGCCCCUGUACGUACCUGCCUUCCUGGCGGAGGUGGCAAGAAGAAAUGGGAAGUGGCUUUGCCCCACACUAAGGCUUUACCUGCUGACGGAGCCGGGCAGGGCUGCUGGGUUUUGCUCACUUGCAGGCAUGAAAUGGAGUGGGAAAAGGCUUCGGGUAAGCUUGGCUGGAGGAGACUUGGGUAGGGUCAAAUUGGGGCACGUGUUUAUUAAACAAGGGGCAGCACGUUUGUGAUCGUGACCAGCAGCCAGGGGAGGGGAGGGAGAAGGCAGGCAGGGCACUGGUGAGGCAGCACAGCCUGCAGCUGGGACACCUGCGAGGUCAGGUGAAGCAGAGACUGCCCACCCUUGGUUUGAACACACAUGAUUUAUGCGGAGUCUUGUUUCCAAAGAAACCUGGCUCACAGGGCUUUUAGGUGUCAUCAUGGAGGAGAAAUCUGUGCUGGGGGCAUUACUCCUGUCUGCUCUGAACUCCCCUGCUCUUUCCCACCCAAAGGGCUCCAAGGACCCAUGCACAAGUUGGGAAAUCCCCCUUGAAGGCAUUAGAGGUGCUGGACUUGGGUCCCAGGAGGCUGGAGUUUGGUGGGAAAGGGGUCGUACCCAGCAUAUAAGUCUGUUCACAUCAGGCUAUUGCACAGGGAGUAAAAAUAAUAUAAAAUGGUCUCUUUACAAAAAUAAGCCUUGCAAUUCCCUCCUUUGGAGGUCUCUGACAACCCCCAUCCCUUAGCUCUCAGAAAGCAACUCCACCUCAAAAAUCACUUCUUGAAAGAAUGGUUACAGCAAAGAACAAACUCCCUAUUUCUUACACCUCCCACACAGAAAUGUCAGAAAGGUACUGCCAAAACAUUUUCCACGAUGACUGGCAACUUGCUUGCAUGCCAAGAGAAAGGAACUUGUAAGAACAUGCAAAAGUGUAAUCUUGCCAUUCCCUGCAUUUAAAAAGUUUUUAAAAGAUGCUAACUAUUUUUAAUUGAGUUUGAAGAAGAAAGCUACACUAUAUUGGUUCUUUUUUAUUUUAAUUUUGUGCAACUCACCCAUGUCUAGUCUUGUACCAAGAACAAGAGUUAGAGUACACCCUGCACAGGUAAAAUUUAAUUAGCUAACACUUGCUUAUUAUCCUAGACUGCCAUUUGCAUUCCCCGUGCCCUGUUUAGGAAGUGAUGGUGUAUGUUCUGCAGUUCAAGUGUUAUUUAUGUACCCUCCCAUCAUCACUUUGUCAAAAACAAAUGUCUGAGGUGAAGAAAGAAGCCUGCACUGCACUAAUUGCUCAUUGAUACCCUGGUCGGGCUUACCAGCCUUUUUUAAAAACAGUGUUAAAAGACACCAUAGACCAGUAUCUCUAUCCUGCAAGAGCCAAAUUAUUUCCGCCUGUUGAUAAGCAUGUUUCUCACAGACAGAAAAGAAAGCAGCUGAUAUCCAAGCCUUAUUUUUUUUUUAAAUAUAUAUUUAUAUUCGAGGGCACAACUGUAUUUCCUUAAAUCAUGUCAGUAGUAGGAAAGGUCUAUGAUUUAGGAGUGAUGGCAAAGUCAAUGAGUCUUAUGUCAACAUCCUUUGUCCAAAUCUAAUUUGAUAGUGAUGAAAAGGUGUCACUUAGUGAUCCCUCUACUUGAGAUAAAUUUAUGGUAAGACACUUGAUAGGCAGGUGCUUAAAAUAGAAAAGCUUUUCUUAUACCUGUGGCAGCAUCAGCUGCACUUUUUCUAUAGAUAAAUAGAAUACCAAUGACAUCAGUUCAGGCAAAUAAAUCAGCCCAUACUGUUUUGAAGGGAUCAAUUGAUCAAAUGAAAAAAAAACCCCAAAAACAAAACACCAACAAACAAACUGAAAAAACUUCUUCCCCCCAGCCUGCCUCUUUGCUAUCACAGCAGAAACUUCUGAGGACACAACUCUUCCAACAAACCUCAUUUCCCCCCCAGAGGAACAGCAAGCCUUCUUCACAACACCUCACAGAAGGAUGGUUUCAAGCAAGAGGAACAUACAGAAAACUAACCUCAAAUUACUUACUUGCCAGACUAAUUCAUGGUGCUUGCUUUCUUCCAAACAGUCACUCCACUCUUGGCCUCCCCUCCAGCCCUUACAACCUCUCUCCAGCUCCAAGGCUCUUUGCAGAAGCAGAGAGAAGCCCACUGCUGUUGGUUAGAGGCCCUUCACCAACCCACAGCCUACCAGGGCUGUGACCCCAACAACAUGUGCUCAGACACACCUGUAUAAUAAAGCUACAGGUGAAGGAAGUGAAGCAAUUACCAUUAUUGAUGCAGGCUUACCCUUGGCUUUGGAGAAGUGAGGAAGAUGCUUUGGCACAAGUGUAGAGGAUGAGAGAAAAGCGGCAGUGGAGAUGUAUCAUCACCUGGCCUUGGUUUGUGGUCCCUCCAGCCUUGCCUAAUUCUCCUGCAAGGGACACAUUGGAGGUAUGAAAACAGAAUUAACCCUGUGAGUAGCAUUCUUCACCCUGCUCUAAGGAAAUACUCUAGAGUUACAGACAGCAGUGGAACUGAGAUCAGCUUGAAAUGGAGGUGUACUGAAGCUACUGGUGUUGUACUGAUAGCUUAAAAAAUCCAAACAAGAAAAAAAAAAAGCUCAUUUUAAGCUGCUGGACCCAAGCAUGGUCUUCACAACCCUUUUAUCUUUUCUAGUUGGGGAAUGUUCUUUUUUAAGCUGAGUAGUAAUUGAUAUUGAAGGAAGAGCUCCAGGGCAUUAACUAGUCCAUACUACCUCUCAGUGUUGGGGAGUUAAAAACGGGGAGUGUUCUUCCACACACAGCUAGCUGUGCUCAUGGUAUGUAGCUCGUCUUUCUGGUCCCUUACACUGAUGCCUGUUGGAAAGCAGAUGCGUAGAGGGCUGAAACCCUCACUGAAGCCACAGAAAACUGCGAGUGGUCAAGUAUAUGAAUGCCAGGCAAACUAUUUGCUCUGACAGUGGCUGCUUUUCCUUCAUUUUUGUCUUCCCUACAGGAUUCACUUUUUAAAUGGUUUAUUUACGGGUUUGGCUUGUAUAUCUAACUGCACCCAGAGAAUUCCAGCUCAAAAAUUUACGUGUGCUUAGUAAUUUUAAGCUCCACACAUGAGGCAACGUGUGCAGACAGAGAGAAAGGGGGGAAAAAAUGAUUCCAAGUAUGUUGCCUCUCUGAAGAGCUGCUUUGAGAUUGAUAGUUUUACUGUGCAGAUCCACACCCCAUUAACCCUCAUAGCAGUAGGCUGCCAUUAGGAAUUUUGCCCUUCUUUUUUUCCUGGGUUGCCAAUGAACUGAGGCCACGUUGCAGAGGGAAGGAUGCUGAUGCUGCUUGCCCACCCGUGGCCCUGAGGAAACAUCAGGAAGAGGGUUGUGCUUCACCCUUUGCCCCUGCCACAUCUCCUUUCCCAGAAGCUGCCCAUCACAGACCUGUCUCUCACAUCCAUCCUACCUGCGUGAGGGCUUCUCUGCAGCAUUUCAGGAAAUGGAUGAGUGCAUCAACUUAUUUGUGGCAACUUUUUGUAAACAGUGAGGAAUGUGCGGCCAUAUGGAGCUGUGCACUGAGCUAACAGGCUGGUGUGAAUCCUCUUCUGGGAAGCUGGUCUCUCUGUCAAGGAAAAGCAAAACAAAAGAGCUCAGCAAAUGUGCACCCAGGAUUCUCCAGAUGAUAAAAGCUCAGAAUAAGGGGCACUACCUCGCAUAUGCUGUGUGUAAGCACAAGGACAGUUACUUCAGCAUAACUUACACAGAAUAACCUGAAGCCUGACAACCCACCACACUGCAGUUUGCUGUCAGUAACUGCUCCCAUUGCAAAGGAGGAUUUCGGCUAUGGAGGGAUUUGUCUGAGGUUUUGAUGGGAAACCGGAGCUCUCAACCAUGGGCAGCCCUGCUCAUUUCAAGGAGUGAUACCUCAUGUGCCAUUGACAAUCCUUUAGAUAGUCUUUUAAGUCUUUCCCCUUUUCUAGUACUUAUCAAAGGACUAAAAGAUGGCUGCAAAGAUCUACAGGGGCACUUGAUUAACAGGGGAGAGGAAGACAAAGGAUGCAUAAAUCAAGGAGAAAAAGUCUUUAAAGACAGAGUGAGACUGUAAAGUAACUUGCUCACACAAAGGAGAUGCCAGUAGUUAAAAUUUCAUGAAGGGGCUCUGGCUUUCAAAGUUUGGAGGGCAAUGUGGAGAGUGUUUCUGAUACUUCAAAACCAGCUACUACAAUUUAACAAAAUAAUACUAAAAAACACACUGAAAAAAGAGAAUGUUUGGUAAAGACACUCUUACCAGCAACUAUCCAGCCUAUUUGAGUUAUACCUCAUGGCAAACCAUCUGACACCACAAAAAUCUGCAACUUCCAUUUGCUAUCCUUUUUUUUCUUUCCCCCUUAACUAUGCCAUUUCUACAUUGGCCUGCAAAUUAUUUCUGUGACCCCCAGACUGUGACCAGAAAGAGCUGUGCAAAUGCUUUAAAAAAAUAAAUACUUGAGAAAACUG